GAAAACGUCGGGAUGCAAUCCCAUCUAGCACCGAUCCACUCCGUCCUGACAGGCUCGGCGCUGCCUCCUCCCCUCCCAAGCACAGCCGCCGCUACACACCCCAUCAGAGUACACCUCCCAUACUCCCUCUCUCUCUUGGAGCCGCCGCCGCUCCCCAUCCACCCGGCGUGCAUCGGAUCGACCUUAUUCCCUCUCCUUGCAACGUGGGAUAUGGAAGGGGCCGCCUGUCGGGCACCAAUCUGAUGGGGGCGUGGUCAUCUACCUCCUCCUCUCUCCCCACGUUGGUCCAGCCUGUCUUCUCUACCAGAUCUGGCGGCCGCGUCGGCGAAACUGCUGGCAGUGAGACGGUUCGCGGGUGUGCGAUAGAAAACAUCGGCCGGUCGUCUUCGAGUCCGCCUACCACGGCGAUCCCGCAGUACAGCCUCCCCGCCUCCAAGAUGUGGCCUGGACAAGGCCGUCUUCUCCUUUCCUCCGUGGCGUCCAAUGAAGAGCUACACCAACGUGGCACCACAUGUGUGUUGUACCUUCGCCCCGCGGCCCUUCUGUGCUGGGAUGAGGCAGCGUUUGUCUGUAGCACUCCAUGUCCCACAUCAACAUUCCUUUCUUACUUAGUGUUGUACAAGUGAUGCAAUCAGGAUUUGCUGGUUUUUGAACAUAUCCCUGAUGGAGUGAAAGGGACGGAAGAAUUGGAAAUACAAUGAGGAUGGUGCAUGGAGAACAUGCUCUGUUGCCAUCUUCAUCCGCGAAUUGGCUCCCAAAUCUAAAAGGUGUGGUUGCCGAAACAUGAGUCUAACAAGGCGCGGCUGCUGAACCAGGAGAACCGCAGACCUGGUCACAAUGAAUGAGUUUGAGACAAACCUUGUGUCAUGUGUUAUCGCACUCAGAUAUCGGAGCCUUGGAGAAUGUAAAAGAAAUGUUAAACGGGUAGAUGUGGCCCCUCUAAACUUACCUGAAUUGUUCAGCAAAGGUCCGCGAUUAAUGGUACCCAUCUACAUUCAGUAGGGCGAGUUGGUCUUGCUAUAUUGCAUUCAGGCAUAGUGUUGAUAUUUCAUCAAAAAUAAGUUCAAGCAUGAUAUUUAAGAUCAAUUCUGGAAGAAUGACCUGACACACCUGAACAUAAGAAAAACAUAAGGUGACUAAAAAAUACAUUGAACCAAAUGUGCCUGACUGAAUUUUAUUUGGAAUCGUACGUGUUAUUAUUCUUUGGAUGUGGCUGGCCAUUGCUAGCAUGCAUACAUGUAGCCACAUCUAUGUGAUAUGGUCAGUAUAUAUCUAUCAUGAGAAUAGUAUCUCAUGCAAUCAAGUCACAAUUGUUUAAAUUUCAAAAAGCCAAACUGAAGAACAAGCUGAAUACUGCUCCUUCCUCGCACGCGUCGCUCCCGGGGGGGGCGGCACGGGCGAUAACCUAGCCGCCGCCGCCCCACUCCCCGCUCCUUCCUCGCUCCCCUGCCGCCGCCGGGGGAUGCCGACGGGCAAAUCUCGCUCGGCGGACGGCGGCGGCGGGGCCUCCUCGUCGUGUGGCGUGCGGCUUCGGCCCUGGACGGAGCUCCACUCCUGAUUGCGGCUGGGCGGCGGUGGGUCCUCUCGCCGGCACAGGUAAGCCGGGGCGGCGGCCCCGGGCAAGGUGGCGGCGCUGCUCCUUCCGACUCUCUACUGAGGGUGUUCGGGGCGGUGCUAUCGCCGCGGAUCUGACGACCGACGUCCGGAUCUGCCGGUGGUGGCACUCUGGCGUGCUGCUGUGCCGGCGCUGCGGCUUGCAGCGGCUGCUGGGCGUGCUGAGUGCUGGAGUCCCCUCCCUCGGCUGGGGGAGCUGCGGUGGCAGCGGAAAGCUGCAGUUUUUGGACGGCGGCACGCCGGUGCCGCGAUGGUGUUUAUGCUACGGUGGCUGUGGAGAUUGGUCUCCGUCCCUGUACUGGUGUGCUCAUCUUCUGCUUGUUCUGUAGCAGAGGGCUGGGCUUGAGGUAGUUGUGGCUGUGACCGGAGGCCGGAGGCGUGAUGGCACGGCGUGGUGCUCUGUUGCAUCAUGCAGGUGGGUCUGGUGGUUGGCUGCAACGCUCCUUGCACAAUUGUUGUUCUCCGGGCGAAAGUCUUGCACCUUCUCCGGUCGGUGCCGAUGAUGGCGGCGUUCUUGAGCGUCACGUACCUUCUUGAAGACCUCAUCGUGGAGAUACAUCCAUUUAUUCUCACAAUUGUUAUGUGAUUCUGGGUGAAAACCCAAGCUCUAUCGGAGCGGGCGGUGGCGACAUUUAUGCUGUUACCUUCUUGAAGGCACCGCUUUGGAAUCCUUGACCUUUGUGGGGUGGUGGGUUCAUGACAAUUGUGCAGGUUUUGGGUCGUGGACUGGGCGGUGGAAGCCGGGGCGGCGGCUCCGGACGGUGGAAGUACGCCGAGGCGGCGGCCUCGGAUGGCGAUGCAACGGCGGCUCUAUGGGUUAGGUUCGUGGCUCUGCAUGGCUUGGGCGGCGACUUGGUUCUACAAGGGUAGCGAGGUCGUCAGCCUGGUUGGACGCGGCCCGAGGGGUUGGUCUGGCAGGAAGUCGGGGCGGCGGCUCCGGAUGUUUGGCACAGCGUUCGUGGUCUGCGGUCGGUCGUCUCGUGUAGCAAGGGCUACAGGGCCCUCGAACCGUGCGGCGCUAUGGCUCGUGAGCGGGCGGGGGAUGUCGGAGCGGCGGCUCCGGAGCUGGGGGUGUGUGUUUGUUGCGAUUGUGGCCUUGUGUCGUGUGGUCGACAAGGCUUCCUUGCUUGUGCGGUUUUUCAGCUCGGUUUUCCUUAUAAACCGGCCACUUUGUGAGGUUUUCGAUCCGGUUUCCCUUAUAAACUGGAUCAAUUCUCUUCUUCUAUAAUGAAAUGCCAGAGCUCCUGGCCCUCUGACGAGGUUCUGUCAAAAAAAAGUCACAAUUGUUUAUCCUCUUCGAUUAUCUUGCACUGCAGAAUUGUUGUACGGAACAAUUUAUAGGUGGUAUUCGUUAUUUCUCGGUAUGUAUAUGAACAAUGAUCGCACAUAUUCCUGUAAGCUAUAUUCUCUUCACAUUUAUGCAUAUUCUUGCUGAGACAGAAAAGAAAAGUAGUUGUAGUAAGUAGAUAUAUUUCUUCCCAUUUGUUUAUUCUUGCUGGGAGCGAAAAACACAUUAGCGACAAUAAGCAGUUAUGUAUAAACUUCUGUCUUGCAUACUGGAAAUGGAAACUAAUUAUCAUUUUUUGCUUUCUGACUUGCAAUGCAGAAUGUGAGAGCUUAUACCCCCAUAAAACAAGUGUUACAAAGUCUUUCAAUGGUGGUCUUGUAUACCCUCAUAAUUAUUGUUGUUGUAGUCGUCAUGUAUAAAUAGCAAGAUUCUUUUUCAGUUUUUUCUUGGCGUCGAUGAGCUCAGGAGCUCGGAGGAGGCCACCAUGGAGCUGAUGCCACCUCGGCAAACAAAACCUGUGCAGAACAAGAACGACGAGGCGAGCCAAUACUACAGAGGAGCUGGACCAUAGGGAGGUCUUAAUUUUAAAUAGCAAUCUUGGUUGCUAGCAUAUGUAAGGUUUGAAGUAUCUAUCCACCUUUUAAAAUAUAAGUGUCUAAAUACUAAAUAAUGAUUAUAGUGAUUUAUGACAAUCAGGUACCGUUUGGUUUA